rnacentral:lncRNA from 1 species
AGAAAAUCAACAAAUUUCCUAAAGGCCAUCUUUUUUUCUUUAAAUUUUGGUUAUUGGGUACCGAAAGGUAGAGAGAGAAAAUUAUCUGUUCGCAAUCAACUACACAGAGAUACAUUGACAUCAAAAAACGAAAUCUUUGGAUAAUUAAUUAUAAAAACUUACUGAUUCAUCUGGAUCCACAUCAAGAGUGACGAGCUGCUCCUCAGAUGUCAAUACAGUGAUCUUCAUCUCUUGUUCUACUUCUGAUUUAACCUGUGAUUCUCAGAAAUCUUUCUCUGUCUACAGAACUACUGUUCGUCUUAGAGAGAGGGAAGGGGUGGCUUUAAAUAGAAUCAGGGUUUGGGAAUUUGGAAGCUUGCGUUUAUCACUUAACAUGCAAGAUAUCCCCCCCUCCUAGGAAAUGAUUUAUACGGCCUAGGCUUUAUCAUAAGUCAAAAAUCAAAAAAAGCACUCCAGGUUCGUCUCGUCAAUUAUCCGUUAAUCCUUUCCAUUCGCAAGCAGCUCUCAAAUUUAUCAUCUCGACUUUCACGAUCGUAAGUUUGAUAAAAAAUUUAUUUUUAAUGUUAAUUUUUAAAAUGCCUGCGGUUUAUAGAGGGCCGGGGCUCUCAACAAUCAAAGUAAAACACAC